rnacentral:snRNA from 1 species
GUGCUCACUUCAGCAGCACACAUACCAAAAUUGGAUCCUUGCAGAGAGGGUUAGCACGGCCCCUGGGCAAGGAUGACAUACAGAUUAGGGAAUCGUUCCAAAUUUAG